rnacentral:rRNA from 1 species
AACGAACGCUGGCGGCAGGCCUAACACAUGCAAGUCGAGCGCCCCGCAAGGGGAGCGGCGCACGGGUGCCUAACGCGUGGGAAUAUGCCCUUGGGUGCGGAACAACGUCUGGAAACGGACGCUAAUACCGCAUAAUGACUCCGGUCCAAAGAUUUAUCGCCCAAGGAUUAGCCCGCGUUGGAUUAGCUAGUUGGUGAGGUAACGGCUCACCAAGGCAACGAUCCAUAGCUGGUCUGAGAGGAUGAUCAGCCACACUGGAACUGAGACACGGGCCAGACUCCUACGGGAGGCAGCAGUGAGGAAUAUUGGACAAUGGGCGAAAGCCUGAUCCAGCCAUGCCGCGUGAGUGAUGAAGGCCUUCGGGUUGUAAAGCUCUUUCGGUUGUGAAGAUUAUGACGGUACCUUAUGAAUAAGCACCGGCUAACUCCGUGCCAGCCGCCGCCGUAA